CUGCAGUGAUGAAUGUUUUGAUCAAGUCUAAAUCAUCGAUAUGUUGAUUCAAACCGAGCUUUUUAAAACUGAGCAGC